AAGGAACAUAUGAAUAGACAUAAGAAACAUAAGAAAUACCUGUUGUCUAAACACAACUUAUUCUUCUUAGCUGUCCUUCUCACAGGGAAUUCUCUGUUCUGCAGGCUGGGCUUUCCUUCUCUAGAUGGACCCUUCUCUGCCCAAAGAGAUGUAGCUCCAAGUUCUCCCCCUAAACUAACAAAUCCGAAUAGAGCCAUAACACCAGGUCAGGGGCAGGGCAAGACAAGCAUGACAGUGGGGGAGAGGCUUCAGGUUUCGUCUUUUCAAAAAGACAGUUUAGACAGUUUUUGAAAGGGAAAGAAACUGUCACAUGGAUUGGUAUUGGGUAGAUGCUGCUUAAGGAACUGCAGAGAUAACAAGUUGUUAAGGUGUAAGCAGCUGUUGCACAAGUGGGUUUGUUUUCUUUGUUUGAUUUGUUUGUUUUUCUACAGUCAGUUCUGUCUUGACCUUCUCGCUACACAGCUACAUGGUCUGUCUUUAUUGCAAUUCUGGUCAUAUGCAGAAAUCUAUUUAAAGUGACCACCCAAGACACGGGCAAAACUAAUUCACUUCUAAGAGCUGGACUUUAUAAAAAGAUAAAAAAGAAGUGGUUACGGAAACCCUGAUGGGCCACUUGAAAAUAAUGGCUUAAUAACAAGCUAAUUUAAUAUUUCAGUUAAAAUUUAACUAACUGUGUGUGACUGCGUACCAAAAGUUAGAAAAGAUUUUUCCAAGCAGACUAGUACAAUAACUUUCCUUAAAACGAUGUUUCUUAAUAACUAAACCUUACCCCAUGGUAUGACAAGCCAGGUACCCGAAAAUUGAGGCACAUAAAAUUGCUGGUUAUUUUAAUUCAAACAACAUAAAUGAGCCCUAUACUUGAGAGAAAAUCUUUUCAACCCAGCAUGUCAACUACUUAACUAUAAAGUUGAAGUCUUAAAAAGGACAGCAUGAUAUUGGAAGGUUUCUUGGAAGUUAGAAGAGUCCUGCAUUGGUUCUUAAUGGAAUGGAAGCACUAAGAGAAACAAUGACAUUGUGUGAUCUGUACACACUAGCUUUUCUAAAGUUUUUCAGGCUGCAAUGACUCUCUGGGACUCUGUCUGUUCAAGUUAAAAGUAUUCUUAAUUGCUGUGAUGUGCUGAUCAAACCUUGAAAUGUCUGGUCAAAUUAUUUCCACUAAAGCAGUUCUAUUUAUGAUUAAUUAAAAUUUCUUCUUGAUUGCA